CAAUAGCGUAUAUUUAAGUUGUUGCAGUUAAAAAGCUCGUAGUUGGAUUUCGGGUAGGAUUUGCCGGUCCGUCUUUGAGAUGUGUACUGGUAAGUCCUAUCUUGUUGUCGGGGACUAGCUCCUGGGCUUCACUGUCCGGGACUAGGAGCUGACGAGGUUACUUUGAGUAAAUUAGAGUGUUCAAAGCAAGCCUACGCUCUGAAUACAUUAGCAUGGAAUAACACGAUAGGACUCUGGCUUAUCUUGUUGGUCUGUGAGACCAGAGUAAUGAUUAAGAGGGACAGUCGGGGGCAUUCGUAUUUCAUUGUCAGAGGUGAAAUUCUUGGAUUUAUGAAAGACGAACUUCUGCGAAAGCAUUUGUCAAGGAUGUUUUCAUUAA
rnacentral:rRNA from 1 species